rnacentral:rRNA from 1 species
CAGUAGCCACGGUAAUACGUAGGGUGCAAGCGUUAAUCGGAAUUACUGGGCGUAAAGCGUGCGCAGGCGGUUUGUUAAGACAGAUGUGAAAUCCCCGGGCUCAACCUGGGAACUGCAUUUGUGACUGGCAAGCUAGAGUCUGGCAGAGGGGGGUGGAAUUCCGCGUGUAGCAGUGAAAUGCGUAGAUAUGCGGAGGAACACCGAUGGCGAAGGCAGCCCCCUGGGCCAACACUGACGCUCAUGCACGAAAGCGUGGGGAGCAAACAGGAUUAGAUACCCCUGUAGUCCCUGUCUCUUAUAC